GGGGAUUUGGCUCAGUGGCAGAGCGCUUGCCUAGGAAGCGCAAGGCCCUGGGUUCGGUUCCCAGCUCCA
rnacentral:tRNA from 1 species